GACACUGUGCAUGUUUUGGAUGAUUUUGUGAAAGUGCCUUGUGCCCGGCAUAACCUGCCCCAGCUUCCGCACUUCAGAGUUGAGUCAUUUUCUGAGGAUGAAUGGAAUUUACUGUAUGUUGCAGUAACUCGAGCCAAGAAGCGUCUCAUCAUGACCAAAUCAUUGGAAAACAUUUUGACUUUGGCUGGGAGACGGUGUCUUGCUAUAUUGCCCAGGCUGGUCUCGAACUCCUGGCUAAAGUGAUCCUCCUGCCUCAGCCUCCCAAAGUGCUGGAGUUACAGGUGUGAGCCACCUUGCUUUGCCCCUAUUCUCAGUGUUCACAGGGAAAAAUGCCAGGAAGGUUUUGUGCACCCAGCCUUCCUCCCUCUCACUCUUUAGUCCCUUUUGAAAUGGCAUUUGAAAAGUAGACUUUCCAGAAGAACACAUCCUUGCCGGGGAGAGUAAGUGUUCAGGCACCUGGCCUUUGUCACAGACAUGUGGAAAAGUGAGCUGGUCAGCACUCACUCUUUACCCUUCCCACAAACCAU
rnacentral:lncRNA from 10 species